AAAAAAAGACAUCAUGUAUUUUCGUGUCCAACAUUUGACCGUCUGUCUUAUAUGAAAUUUUUUUAUAAUUAGUAUUUUUAUUAUUGUUAGAUGCUAAAACAUGAUUAAUACUUUAUACGUGACUUGUCUUUUUAAUUUUUUUCAUAUUUUUUUCAAAUAAAAUAGACGAUCAAACGUUGGACACGAAAAUCUAGGGUUUGUCUUUUU
rfam:Oryza nivara chromosome 1, whole genome shotgun sequence.